GGUCCGAAUUUGAAGAAGAGUAGAUCGGUACGAUCAGCUGACUAUACCAACCUACUCUGCUUCAAGUUUUUGCCU
rnacentral:pre_miRNA from 1 species